UCAAAGCAUUAACUCGGCAGCACAUCGGAUCUUAACAGCCCCUUGUCCCUGGCCACAGGGGAAUAAGGGCUGUAAAGCAGAACUCCUUCUUUCCAGGCACACAGAAGCCCUGGGGUAGACAAGUCCGUGCCAGAUCUGGAAAGGGUUUCGUUUCAAGUUUUUACACAGAAGUCAAGAAGAGUUCUGGCUGUUAACUGGGCAUGGUGUCUCAUGCUGUAUUCCCAGCAAGUCAUUGGUAAAGCAGGAUUACCACAAGUUUGAGGCCAGUCUGACCUACAUGGAGGAAACACUCAUCCUGAAUCUACUAAGGAUUUUUGAGUUUUCAUGUUUGAGGACCACAUCAUACCUGCUGUUUGGCCAGUCAAUGGUAAAUCACUACAGUCUAAUUGAUCCAUGGCCACUGACUUUACUGAAGUAUGCUGCGUGAUAAGCAAGCUGUUGGUCGUCCAUACUUUGAGGCUCAACUACUCCAUCAUUGAGUCAUCCCAGGGGCAGUUCCUAGCCAAUCAACAAGACUUGCCAUCUCCCAAAAUGCACUGUUAAGUUUUAUGCCAACCAACUACUGCCUUUGUAACUGGAUUAAUCGAAAAGCAUCAAAAACUAACUAAUUUCUACCUAUGAUCAACAGGAGACUCUGUUCAGACAGCCAUUGACUAGUCAGUAUCCUCCUUCCUUUAGCAACGGACUCAACUUUUUGUUGCAAUUAUCGAGUGCUGAUACUUUCCCUGGACUAUAAAAUAAAACCUCUUAGGCAAUCUAAGAAGAGAAGUCAUAGGAGUGAUCUUUAGAGCCACAACAAGUCUCUUAUUUAGUAGUGACACAGCAGAAGCAUCUCUGGGGAAGGCAGAAUCAAGGUGACCUGCCAUCACUGCUGCCAUUUCUCAGGGUGAAGGAUCACAUCAGGAAACAAGACAGAGAAAUGACAAAUAAAUAUUGGAAUUCUCACACUGUUUUCCAAGAACUCAUUGCCUAGAAAGGUCAAAAGAGUCAACUUCCAAACCCUUACAACCAAAACAACAUUUAGUAUGGUGGUUGUACCUACGCUGACCAAAAUACAGGAUCGGUUGUCAACAUCAACCUUUUAUCAACUGCUUACCACCCUAGCCACAUUUCUGUGUGUGUUCUAGAUUUUUCCUCAUUAAUAUUCACAGUACCCUGUCCUAUUUAGAAGGAGAUCUCGCAGAGAUGUAACAGGAUCAAGUAUGUUGCUGAGCUUUGUGAACAGCAAGCCAAUUGUGCUGGUUAGAUUUCUGUCAGCUGGGAACAAGCCACAGUCAAGCGCAAACAGGAACAUAGGCUGAGAAAAUGUCUCAUUGUUGGUCUGUGGAGAAGUCUUUGGAGCAUUUCCUUGAUUGAUAACUGAUAGAGGAUGGUCUAGUGCACUGGUGCCACAUGGCAAGGUUGUUCCGAGUGCUAUAAGAAAGCAAGUUGAGCAAGCCAUGGGGAACAAGCCAGUAAGCAGCACUCCUCCAUGGCUUCCGCAUCAGUUCCUGCCUCCAGGUUCCUGCCUUGACUUUCUGCCCUGACUUUCCUUCCUGUUAGCCUGAAAGCUGUACAAUGAAACAAAUCCUUUCCUUUCCUUCCCAGGGGGUUUUUGGUCAUGGCUUGUAUCACAACAGAAAAGCAAACAUGACCUCAAACAGGAACCAACAUUCUUAGCCAUCGCUACAGUGGCCUUCAAAAGCUCUCUAUCCAAUACCCAUUGAAAAAUGAUUGAGGAUUCACUUCCAGACACAUAUUUUAUUUUCCAACUAUAUAUAGUAUUAUAAUUAUAUAUAUAAUAUACCAUAUUAUAUAAAUAAUAAAAUGAAAGAUUUAAAAGAUGAGAUAAA